UUGACAUUAUCUCAUAAUUUCGAAAUUGAGAUAAAUUGAAAUUAUGAGAUGAUACAUCGAAAUUAUGAGAUAAAAAGCCAUAAUUAUGAGAUCAUGUCGAAAUUAUAAGAUACUUUCACACAACACUCAAAGGAGCAGUUCUUUGGCAUGAGUUCUCCUAGUCAACUUGACAAUGAAAUGAAUUGUGAGCACAUUGAAGACUAUUUUAAACAGGGCUUUACAACAGAUGAAAUACUUAAUUUGCUUGCUGAUUCACACUGGAUUAUAUGGCGCAAACAUACCCUUGUGUAGACAGAAUAAAAAUGAUGUGGCUGAAGUGGCAAUCUUCAUUGAACAGCAACUAGGUCACAAUCUGGUCACUGACAUGGUUACAGAUAACAUAUUGUCAUAGUUAGGAUAACAAUACACUGGAGUGCAUGCAGACUUUUUCAAAUUAUUAUCUCAGUUUCAACAUAUCAUCUCAUGAUUAUGACUUACUAUCUCUUUGACUUAAUGUGAGCAGUUUUUUUCUUAUACCAGUGGACAUGAGCUUCCAUAGGCUGAAAACAUUUGGAACAUCUAAAAAAAAUAUGAUGCUUUUAUUUCAAAGUUGCAGAUACAAAUGGUAAGUAUUACUGUAACAGCUGAGAAAGAUACUGUUUGUGUGUGGCCAAGACAAAGUACAGAAUUUUCUAAUCACUCUAGCUAGUUUAAGAAAUACAUUGUACACAGUGCUUUCUUUAUCUGCACUAUCAAUUAAGAGGCUGAUAGUGUGCUAUGUUGCCUACUAACUGACAUUAUCUUGUAUUAAUAUACUAAUUAUUCCUUAUUUGAACAAGAUCCUCAAGAUCAAAGAAAAUGCUGCAACCUGUUGAGUCUCAAUGAUUAUCUUAAAACAGGUAGUUCACACACAAAAGAUACUAGAUGUCUUAAGUGUCUUUAUAAAAAAGUGGAAUUAAAAGAUAAUACAGUGCAGAAUUUUCAUGCUCAGUUCACAUUUUAGCAAUGUUAAGACAAACUUACAAACUAAGUGAUUAAAUGUUUUCUCUCUCAGUACCACCAGUGAAACAAACUGUAAUGCAGUGCACUGUUAUGAUUAGGUAACGUACGGAAGUCUAUCUAGAUGGCUUACAUUCAAACAGUGAAGGUGUGUUAUCAGUUAGCUGUCAGUAUUCUAUUAUCAAUAUUCUCAUAAUUCCUUAUUAUACAGGAUCCUCAAGAUCUAAGAAAAGACAGCAACCUGUUGAGACUUAAAUUGAUGACCCAAAAACAGGUAUUUCUUAGGCUACAUGCACUGGAAUAUGUGCAUAUUAGUUUAACUUGCUUUUGUGAUAAUGGUGUCAGUGUUCAAAACUUGUCAAUAGUUUACUGUAACUUCAUAAAUAUGUAUUUUGGGUGACUAUCAUUCUCAGUGGCAAUAAAUACACCACCAGUCUUUGUUCAUUAACUAAUAAAUAUACAAAUAAUAGUUGCAAAGAUGUUCAUGGUUGAUAGAAUUAUUACAUACAUCAUUUCAGGUAUUACCUUUCAGGAACAAGUUAUGAGAGUCACUGCUUGAUAAUGUCACACAUCUUACUGUUUGCAUAGCUCUUCAUCAAUUUUUGAUUACCUGAAUUUGCUUUACAGAAAGUGGAGGGAUGCUGUUUCCUAACAAUGCAUCUUUUGUUCAUAUUUACCAUUGAGAAUGGGUUUUCACUGUUAUAUUUCCUAAACUUCUGAAUUAAUUAUCAUUCACAAUCCUUCUACCUCCAUUAUAUAUUUACAUCCUCUUUCAUGUUUGAAAUAUAUUGUGAUUUGUAAACGUUUGUGAUCAGCUGAUCUUUAUGUCUUGACUUACUAUUCUAUCAAAAUCCUGCUACAAACUGUCUCCACACCACCAGAAGAUGUGGAUUCACACACAGUUCAACAGUUUUCACUUCAAACAGGUUUUAGAGCAGUUUUAAUCAGGAGUUACUUCUCUGUCAAAAUCAGUUGGUGAUAGAAAACACAUUUAUGCACACAGAUUUUCAAAAUAAAACAUUAGGGGUUUAACAGAGCCAGACGCCGAAAUACACAAAGAAAGAAAAGGACACUUAAACACAACAUGUCCUGUUUACACACACAACCAGACAGACACAUACACACACACACACACAUGCGUGCGCACACACACAACUGACAUCUGCACAUUAAGUAAUGGGUCAUUCUGAUCAGUUAAACCUGCCUGGUUCUGAAUACUUAUGUAAAUGUGAUAUUAGAAUAUUUUCCCUUUUUCAUUAAUUUGCAAACAUUUCUAAAAACGUGCUCAUCAGAAGUGAGGAAAAACAUUAGCAAAAUAAAAGCUCACAAAAUAAAUACACAUAAAACAAAAAUAUACAAGGAAAAUAAUGACUAAACACAAAAAGGGAUGGCUUGUUGGUGAAAUAUAAACCUAUGACAAACAAAUGCUGCAACUACAUUGUCUUUUCUAACACCAGACAGCACCCCUCCACUUUCUGUAAAGCACUGGUCCUCCACACACACCGCUGACAUGUGUAUUGAUGGGUUUGCUAAAUGUAGUGUUUUUAGGAGCCAUUCUGAAACAAAACACACAAAUGUUUAAAUAUUUUUUUAAAUAUAUAGUAUAUAAAGAUUAGCUCUCUGGAAGUUUAGAGAUCUACCAGCUAUUAACGGCUGCUGACACUUCUGUCUGCGCUGGUACCAUCACUAUGGCAACCGCAAGGACACAAGCGUCAUCAUAAGCAUCUUCAUACAAGUAUUAAAAAUAUAUUACAAACUGUUGAAAAUGAUGGACAACGAUAGUGAAAGGUGAAUGUUGUUUUCACUGUCAAAACUAGCAUAAUACAAAUAUAUGAAUAGGUCUAUAAAAUACUUAUAUAAUGCUGAAUGGUGUAAAGGCUGUCUGGCACAUUAUAAGACUGGUGCCCUUUGACUAAGUUCAAUAGGUAACAUGACAUUUCUGGAAAAAUUAAUGGGCUAGCUCUUAGCUGAUAAAUCUGUAACAGUCGAUAGAGACAGUCUAAAAUCCCAAACUAACUAAAGUGUGUGUUUGUUUGUUUUGUUUCAGAAUGGCUUUAAAACAGAUUAGGUACACGAAACCAGAUUCUCCUUUUUUUUCGGCCCCCACCUGUACCUGUGUGGUGGCCAUUGAGGAACAGCCCCAAACCCUGAAUUGGAUAUUUCCUGAGAGUGGCCAGGUGCAGGCUCAUCGCCUUCUCCAGCCUCUAUCCGUGGAGACCCCACUUCGCGAUGCCAUCAAUGGCACUGGCUUAAUGUUGGUGUGUGGUGAGGUGGUGGAGGUGUCUUAAAACUGUAAAAAAAAAAUCAUAAUUGGGUGAGAACUGGGUCAAAUGCAGUAAUGCAGGAUGACAGUAAUAAGACAAUUUUCCAUGAGCCUGUACAAGUCUGAUAUGUCCGACUGUGUCAAUGGCUAGUGGACACCACAGAUCAGAACCAAAAUAUUGCGUGGAUAUGUUACUCAUGCGAUGUUUUACCCAGGAAACACUUUUCUAUCACAAAAAGUAAAUUCACUCAAGCCUAUAACUUUUUUUGAAUGAUAAGUAGUGUUUAUUGUUUCAUGGGCCAUAAACAUCAUCUAUUGACAGAUUAUUUAGUUCUUUUAAACACCCCAAGUUUACUGGUUAAAGAAUAAUAUAAACAAAUAAACAUUUGUACUAAAACGUUAUUGAGCGGGAAACAGCAGGUGCCCCUGAGGACCGCUACUCUAAAUGUCAAUCUGAUGAACAACACAAACAGCCAAAAAAGACUCAAUUACAAUAAUAUGUUGUAGCCAUGAGAGACUAAAAGAGUAUAAAAUUCUUACUUUCUUUUGGUUGAAGGACAACCCCAGAGUGAAGCUGACUCUGUGGGGGAGGCAGCACUGGCCUCUGUCAGUGCUGGGAAGUGGCAGAAGUUUAGCCUCCUAACGAGCACUGAGAUCGCAUAUGGGCACGUGCACACACACACGUGUCUCUAAGAUGGAAACUGACAAAAAUCAAUGUAAAGCACCAUGGGUGAUUUCUGGCUUAAAAAGAUGUUUGGGACUCCUCAACUAACUCAUGGCUGUUAGCGUUCUCGGUGGCUAUGAAUCUGCAAAGGAUGGCAUCUGGGAAAUCCUCCUUGAUGAUGAUCGAGUGGUAGAGGCAGAGGAAGCCAUUUGGUGUAUUAAGACCCCCCCAGUAAUCAUGACCAUUUCAGGAAAAAAUGUGAAAUCAGUUGAUUUAAUUGAUUAAAAUUUAAAAGAGAGAUAUAAACAAAUCCAUCACAAUAAACAAAACAGUUCAACUAAUUGAGUAAAAAAAGAAGAGAGAUCUAAACAAGUCAAUCACAAUAAACAAAUCAGUUCAGCUAAUUGAGUAGGAAAAAGAGAGAGAGAAAAAAGUGUUCAUUCAUUAGAAAAUCAUUGAACCUCUCAUCAAUAUGCACACAAUACCACAUAAUCACAAAGCAAAAGCACGUUUUUAGACAUUUUUGCAAAUUAGAAACACUAGAAACAGCUGAAAGGUAAAAAUCAGCUGCUGAGGGUUUGACACAAACAGUUAAAAUGGACAGAAAGAGGUAUGAAGUCUUAAACACUGCUUAAAGAUAAUUUACCAAUCAGUGAUCUCUGUGUAAGAGGAAUCCAACAGAAUGGCCCAUGUGUUAAUUAAGCAAUAUUAACUGAUAUUAACUGAAACUCAAAUGACGUUAAAGCACACCUUCAAGUAUAAUAUUGCGAUUAUACAACUAUUACCAACAAAGUAAAAUGUAUAAUCAAAAUCUGCUCAUGUCGAGGAGCAAUUUGCUCUCAAAAUUAAAAGUUUUUGGUGAGUGUUUUUCUUGUUUCCAUGGAAAUACAUGGGGUCUGACUAAUAACUGUAACGACCUAGCAACAGAAAUGAUUUUCUAGUCCCACUCUAGCUGAUGUUAAUGCUUUAUCGAGGUCUCGGAAUUUACUUAACUAAAUCAAUAGCCUACUGCACAAAUAAAUGCUUACUUUUAUCAACCACGUUAUAACAAAGACGCUGCAUUUAUUUACUCACACAGAUGUAGCUUCUGCAACCGCAAACUUUUACAUGAAUUUUAAGUUAUAGCACCAGUUAUAGCACCGUGUCACCAGCAAAGCUGAUGGAGAAAGCUGAGGCCCUUUGCUCAAAUGACGUUAAAGGAUACCCUUGAGUGUAAUCUUGCACUAGCACGUUCUAAAUGUCUUGUUGACCAAUCAGACUGCUUGGUCGGAACUACUUGUUGUAUAAUAUAUAGAUGAUAGUUGUGUGUGUCUGUUUGUCUGUCUGUGAGUGUAAACAGUACAUAUGUUGUGUUAAAGUGUCCUCUUUCUCUGUGUAUUCCAGUAUCUGGCCUGAUGUUUUACUUUGAAAAUCUGUGUGUGGGUGUGUUUUCUGUCACCAACUGAAAUAAGCUGCCAAGUUACUCCUGACUAACACUGCUCUAAAACCCGUUUGAAGUGAAAACUGUUGAACUGUGUGUGAAUCCAAUGUCCAGUGAAUGUAAAACAGGUUUUAGACAUUUUAUUUGAUGAAGACGAGGACAAUGGACAUGACAGCGACUCAGACCCUGACAGCUGGCACACGGACGAGGACUAUGAGGAGAGCAUUGAUCCGUUUGAAGAUGAAAACUUAGAUGAUGAGAUUGCCCCAUCUGCCCUGCAAAACUCUGCACCCCUCACUGUAUCAUCUGGCCCACCUUCCACUUCAACAACAGCAUCAUCAACAGCACCAUCAUCAACAACACCAUCAUCAACAGGAGCAUCAAAAUCAACUGCAUCAUCCUCACGACAAUCCACCACAUCACCAUGGAGACGGGGGAGAGGAGGAAGGAGUGGGCGUGGAAGAGGGAGAGAGCAUGGACGCCUUCCAUCGCAAGCCCCAGCUGACCGAGAAAGGUGUAAAGAUGUUGAGGAGCUGGACAAAUUGCACAGGCUUCCCAGUUUCUGCCCCAAAAGACCUCCUGGUCUGCAGACCCUGAUCGGUGAGGACAAUCCACCAGUCAGGCUAUUCAGAGAAUUUUUUCUCUCAAAGAGGUGACAACAAUCUGCCAGCACACAAACAUCAUUGCUGUUAAAGAGAUUGCGAAAGGGAAAAAAUUAAAAUGGUUUGUUUUUCAACCACUGCAGCCCACUGAGUUUUUUCAUUAUGUUGGGUUAUUGUUUUACAUGGCCAUCCUCAAACUUGCCAGACUUGUGGAUUACUGGAGGCAGUGUUAUAUUUUCAGUGUUUCCUUUCCCCGCACUGUAAUGACCAGAGACAGGUUCUUGGCCAUUGCAAGAAAUGUGCACGAGUGACCCAGACAAAGAUGUCAUCAAUGACCAGAAAAAGGGAAGUCCCAAUUAUGAUCCACUGCACCGUCUCAAGCCACUCUACUGCAACAUCAGGGCUACGUGCAAAGCUCUGUGGCAACCCAGGAAACAAGUUGCGAUCGACAAGCACAUGGUUGCCACAAAAGCCAAUAUUGGCAUACGCCAGUAUAUGAAGGAGAAGCCUACAAAGUGGGGGGGUGAAGCUUUUUGUGCUGGCCAACUCCAGCAAUGGCUACACAACUGACUUCACAAUUUAUAUAGGCAAGAGUAGGUUCACUUCUGGACAGGGACUCUCUUAUGACGUGGUCAUGUCACUCAUGGACGAGGCACAUCUGGGGAGAGGAUAUCACCUCUACUGUGACAAUUUCUACACUAGUCCUAAGCUUUUCAGAGCACUUUAUGAGUGGGACUAUGUUGCAUGUGGCACUUACUGGGACACCCAAAGAGACACCCCAAGAACAACAGUGAAUGCCCUGACCAAAAAAAACGCCAGGGGUUCCAUUAAAUGGAUCAAGGAACAGGAGCUGUUGUUCAUAAAAUGGAUGGACACCAGAGAGGUGUCAGUGUGCCCCACCAGUGUUUUUCGGCAGAGUAACCAUGUAAUACUCUUCCAUAUUAGUAGGUGGCAGCAGGUAGCUAAUUGCUUUGGACUUUGAGACAAGAGAAUUAGUGAUGCAUGGAUGCGUCAGGUGGCGGUGACAGUGGCAUUGUGGCUAGUGAGACUAUACGGUGACAGUGAUGGAGAAGUUUUUGAAAAGGAAAGAAAGGUGCUUGGUGUGUGGUGAAAAGCUAUCCAACAGUGCUAUGGUCCCAAGUAAGCUUUAGCAGUAUCUCCAAACGAAACACCCUUCACUUCAAAACAAGAAUGCGGACUAUUUUGUUCGCCUGCGUGAACACAUGGAGAAACGGGCAACUUUCAUGAGAAAAACCACAAAGGUAAAUGAGAGAGCCCUUAAAGCUAGCUACCACAUUGCUGAACUUGUAGCUAAGUCAAAAAUGUCGCACACUGUGGCAGAGGCAUUAAUACUUCCCGCCUGCAAAGCCAUUGUAAAUGAGAUGCUCAGACCUGAAGCAGCUAAAGAAAUAGCCAAAGUCCCUCUCUCAGAUAACACAGUUUCCAGACAUAUUGAUGACAUGUCUGCAGACAUCGAAAGUGUGGUUUUGGAAAAGAUCCGUAUCAGUAAGAAAUUUGCAUUGCAACUUGAUGAGUCUACUGAUAUUAAUGGACAUGCUCAACUCUUGGCCAAUGUGCGUUUUGUGGAUGGAGACGCAAUCAGAGAAAACUUCCUUUUUUGCAAGGCAUUGCCAGAAAAAACAAUAGGAGAGGAAAUUUUUUGGGUCACAUCAGAAUAUCUUGAAUAAGGAGGACUUAAGUGGGAAAACUGCACGAGUGUUUGCACUGAUGGAUUUAAAGAUAAGUUUUAUAAUUUCAUUUUAUCAAAAAAGUUGUUGUGUUGAAUGAAUUAAAAUUCUAUUUUUUGAAAAAGUCACUGUAGCUCAGUAUAUUGUGGGUCUAUUACUAGGCCUGGAGUGAUGUCGUAAAUGGAGAAGUAACUGAGCUGUAACUCACUGAGGAAAAGAUAUAUUAGCACCAAACUACAUAUAGAGUUCCAAAACACCUAAUUACAACUUUUCACAAUGAAAAAAACAAAAUUCAUUGGUUGACUAUGGAGUCAUUCAAGUUUUUUUCACUGGGCAUGUCAAAUAUGGUAUCCUCACACAGAGGUAAUGAAUGAUAGUGACUUAACACUGUACCAGAAAAAAGGGGUAGGUUCCACUGAAUUAUUGGAUGUAAAACACUUGAUACUGACUGAAAGAUUAAGCUCAGAGCUGGCAAAAUUAUAAAUCUAUGUCCAGGCAUUUUUUUGUCUAUGUAGGCUUUGAAGGGUUAACUGAACACAGACGUGUUAUUUGUGUAGAUAAAGUGAAAAAUGACCACAGUAUGGCAGUUUAAAAACUGGCCUGGUUGGAUAAUGUCUGAGGAGAACUGAUAUGGAGAUCAAUUGAGCAGUUGAGAGCUCCUCUUGGUGAUCAGAGGCUGCUACCUCAAAAACCAUAAAUCCUAUGGCUUAGGGAGUCACACCGUGUGACAGAGCACAAAAAUAUCUACAGAUUGAAGCAUAAAUUGUGUGUGAGAAGUGAAAAUGUGGGCAAGAGAAGACUUGAAGCACAAAAAUUUGAGAAAAAGUUGAGUGACGUGGUGAACCACUCUAGCCAGCGCAGUACACACCCAUUAUAAACUCAGAAACUGCCAGAAAUGAGCAUGAAAUAUAAACUGCUGUUUUUCAAAAACUGUGCAAGAUAUCAAAAAGUUAAGUCAAAAAGCUUAAUGGCUGAACUUAUUGGGACCUGUUUAAAGUUUAAACAAAGUCUCUAGCACAAAGUAUGCUGAAGUAAUUAAAGUUCAAAGAGGCUGAUGUUUUCAAGGAUUUGAACAUUCCGUCCAUUCAUUUGAAUGGGGAAAAGUUUACACAAAAAGUUGAAUAUAAAGUAUAAAUAGUAUGAAAAAGUUGAAUGCAAGCAAUAAUGUCCUGAAUGAGCUGAACAUUUUGGUGGUUGAAUGGUUUUUCUAGCACAAAGUAUGUGGGAGUAGUUAGAUGCCGAAAAACGUAUGGAAGAAUAAGAAUAAAGAUUCGAAGAACAAUAGAAUAAAGAUUUGAAAAAAUAUAGUGUGAAUGCAUCUACCUUUUGCGGAAUGCCUUCCGCAAAAGAUAUAUACAUAGUACAUACAUACAUAAUAUAUACAUAGCAUGAAAUCAGGAGCCUAUAAUGAGGACCACCAUGCUAUAGGAGAGGAAUGGAUAAAAGCAGGACAAAGAACAGGAUGAAUACCAGUAGUUGGGUGCCUGCAUGCCGAUGCAGCAGCCUGGACCUGACAGAUACCAACAGCCUCCACCACCACCCUGCAUGCCAAUGCAGAAACCUGGACCAGGCAGCUACCAACACCCACCGCCACCCUGCAUGGCAAUGCAGAAACCUGGACCAGGCAGCUACCAACACCCACCACCACUCGGCAUGAUGGACAAGCGGACACCACAACCAGUGAAGAAGGAUGGAGACACUGCAUGGAGACACUGCAUCACUUCCAACAAGAAUGAGGAUUCAUCUGUACAUGCACCUACAUCAACUCACCCGCAGGCAUCCUCAUGGUCCCAGAAAAUCCCACCUAGACAGCAAGAGCAAGGUGGCAACACUACAACUGACCCUGAGGCCUGAGUACGCCAAAAGCUGACAUUAUACAAAGACCUAUUGGUCAACCCCACUGAGGAAAUGGUUGAUAGCUAUGAGAAAGAUCUGCUUCAAGAUAAUGAACAUGAGAUGCAGUACAUGCUCAAUGAAUAUAACCGUACACAUCAACUCAAGUUCCACCCUUGGGGGUAGGCCCCACAUCAACCCAACAUAGUGCCCCAGUUCAAGAGCCAGAGGAUCCAGAAGCUUUAGGUAGUAUGCUUCUGACCUGUUUAAAAGCCUCCUUGCCACCAAAACCCAGGAAGAGACUGUGCUUCUUCACUGACUGCGUUGGAAAAUGAAAACACGACAGAAGGCACACCAGUAUUCUAUCAGUGCACGCCUGUACACCUAGGAGCUGGAGUGGUGGCAGCAGGACAAACGCCUCCUUGAGAUGGCAAAGAAUAAGCUCCAACAGGAAAAUACCACCCUCCUGCUUGAGAACAACACCCUCUUGCAAGAAAGGCACCAGCUCACUAAACAACUGGAGGACAUGAAAGCUUCAGUGUCUCACCUGCAGGGAACACCUGUCCUCGACGACCUUAACCUCUCACCCACAAGCCCCCCAGCAAGUCCAUAGACUCAAUAACCUGAUGCAUAAUACUGUCACCUACACUGGAGCACCACAUUACAAACCGCUUGAUUCAUUAUGGACACUGGAAAGAAAUUACAUGGGACACUGAUCAUAAGAUAUAUCCUCACUGUCACUUGAUCACAUAUUCUUACACUUAAGUAUCAUUUAAGUUCGCCACGUAUACUUUCACUAUCUAGCACAAUGAAAUGUACUGUAACCCAAUAGCAAGGCUUUGACCUCACAUUUCUUUGAAAUAUUGUUAAACAGUACCUUCCUGCAUGCUCUCUCAUGGGGCUCAUAUAUCAUCCUGCAUAUGGAUCCUUGUUAGUAUUAACAUGGUUGUAAACCUGUCACAAUGACUGUGUGUCUUUGGUGACAAACGGAAGAAUGUAGUAUAAUUUUUCAGACAUGUGAUGUACAUUAAAGUAUAAUGUUCGGAGGUGUAUUGAAAUUAGCCUCUGACUGAUAAGCAAUGCUGAUGGUAUUAAGAAUGUGUAAAAGUGAUAUUAUUAAUACUUACUAUAUGAUUAGGAAAAAAUAAUAGUGGUAAUGUGUGUUAAAGGUCACCAUAUAAAGUAGUUAUGUAUGUGUGAAGAAAAUAUAUAAUUUUUAGUGCUACAAGGAAGAGUUAAGAAAUAAGGGUGUAAAGAACCAAUGUUAAAAAAAAACCACAGUUAAAAAAAAAUAUAGCCUAGAAGAAUUAGGAAACAAUGGUGUAAAAUGUAAAGAGAAUGUGUUAAAAGAAAGGUAGGGCAUUACCAGGCAUACCCUAAGGGUCUGAAACCUGCCCAGACAUGUCUCUACAUGUCUGGACAUAUUCCUAGGGGCUUUCAAACUUAAAGAGAUGAAAAUACUGGUGCAAUGUCUAGGGAUGGCCUAUAGGCCUAAAACAAUGUCAUAAUGGUGUAAUGUUGAAGGCCAAUGAAAUGUUCAAACAGGCGUGGAAAAACUACAGUCCCAAGGGGUUAUUAUAAGAAGGUCACAAGCCAGUAUUGAUCAGAGUGCUUCUGGUGUAACCUGUGUACACUUUGAACAGCUAUCAAGCUCCUUUCUGCCAGCAUUAAAGACUGCUGCCUUGA